rnacentral:tRNA from 2 species
GCCCCGGUAGCUCAGUUGGAUAGAGCGGCGGUCUUCUAAACCGCAGGUCCCAGGUUCGAAUCCUGGCCGGGGUA